GACUCGGGCUCCUCCAGCUUCUGCGGGGUUUGGCGCCGCCGCCCGUGAGCACCCAGGCCGGGACACGGCGGCACCUCUGCCGGGAUUCCUUUCCUAGGUGCUGGUGCCGGCCCAAGCCCCGGGCAGCGCUUUGUCGCGUCCGCCCCUCAGUGAUCAGCUCCGGGUCCCCCUGCUCGGCCCCGCGCGCCCCAAGCGCAGUCCCCGGAAGUGCGCGCCGGGGCCCCAGCAAAGAAGAGAAGAAGGAGAGUGGCCACGUUGAUUCAGCCAAGCACCUCCAGGAGGUCCUCUCUGGAUGUCCCAUGAGGCUGCCCCUCAGCCACAGCCCAGAGCACGUGGAGAUGGCUUUGCUCAGCAACAUCCUAGCGGCCUAUUCCUUUGUCUCAGGUGUGUCUUUGAGAAGAUGAGAAGAUCGCAGACCUGUGUUCUAAACUGGCAUGGUUCUAAAGAAAAGGU
rnacentral:sRNA from 1 species